CUCUCCGAUCCCUUGGUUGGUGGGGAAUUUCAACUUCAAAUGGUAGGUUGACACGAUGGCUCGGAGAGCGUUGAGGCCAGAUCGGCCGAGGAUUGCAUUGUAGGCUGACGGUGCCUUCACCAUCAGGAAAUUCACCAGAGCCCUGGAUUGCCUUGGAUAUCGACCCGCGGCUACAGUCAAAGUUAUCAUUCCCUCCAUCGGAAUAGCAUCA
rnacentral:lncRNA from 1 species